rnacentral:rRNA from 1 species
UACGUAGGGCGCAAGCGUUAUCCGGAAUUAUUGGGCGUAAAGGGCGCGUAGGCGGCUCAUGAAGGCUGUGGUGAAAGUCCGGGGCUCAACCUCGGAUCGGCCGUGGCGACUCGUGGGCUGGAGCACUGUAGAGGCGGGUGGAAUUCCGGGUGUAGCGGUGGAAUGCGUAGAGAUCCGGAAGAACACCAGUGGCGAAGGCGGCCCGCUGGGCAGUGGCUGACGCUGAGGCGCGACAGCGUGGGGAGCAAACAGG